rnacentral:rRNA from 1 species
CUACGGGAUGCAGCAGUGAGGAAUAUUGGACAAUGGGCGAAAGCCUGAUCCAGCAAUACCACGUGGAUGAUGAAGGCCUUAGGGUUGUAAAGUCCUUUCGGUAGGAAAGAUAAUGACGGUACCUACAGAAGAAGCACUGGCUAACUUCGUGCCAGCAGCCGCGGUAAUACGGGGGGUGCUAGCGUUGUUCGGAAUUAUAGGGCGUAAAGCGUACGUAGGCUGUUAUAUAAGUUGGUUGUGAAAGCCCAGGGCUCAACCUUGGAACUGCAAUCAAAACUAUAUAACUAGAGUGUGAUAGGGGAUGGCAGAAUUCCUAGUGUAGGGGUGAAAUCCGUAGAUAUUAGGAGGAAUACCAGUGGUGCAGACGGCUAUCUUGGUCAUAACUGACGCUGAGGUACGAAGGUGUGGGGAGCGAACAGGAUUAGAUACCCGUGUAGUC